rnacentral:tRNA from 1 species
GCCUUCGUGGUGUAGUGGUCAGCACGCUCGACGCGUAACCGAGAGGUCCGUGGUUCGAUUCCCGGCGAGAGCA